rnacentral:rRNA from 1 species
UACGUAGGUGGCAAGCGUUGUCCGGAAUUAUUGGGCGUAAAGCGCGCGCAGGCGGCCUUUUAAGUCUGAUGUGAAAGCCCACGGCUCAACCGUGGAAGGUCAUUGGAAACUGAAAGGCUUGAGUACAGAAGAGGAAGGCGGAAUUCCACGUGUAGCGGUGAAAUGCGUAGAGAUGUGGAGGAACACCAGUGGCGAAGGCGGCUUUCUGGUCUGUAACUGACGCUGAGGCGCGAAAGCGUGGGGAGCAAACAGG